CAGAGGGGGACAACAGUUGGAAACGACUGCUAAUACCGCAUACGAUCUAAUCUCGGCAUCGAGGAUAGAUGAAAGGUGGCCUCUACAUGUAAGCUAUCACUGAAGGAGGGGAUUGCGUCUGAUUAGCUAGUUGGAGGGGUAACGGCCCACCAAGGCGAUGAUCAGUAGCCGGUCUGAGAGGAUGAACGGCCACAUUGGGACUGAGACACGGCCCAGACUCCUACGGGAGGCAGCAUG
rnacentral:rRNA from 1 species